CUUUUUCUUUUUCUUUUUUUUUUUUGAAAUCGUUGGAACACUUUUUUCUAGUUAUUCGCCGUUUAAAUAUUUUAACAAUAUUUUAAACAGUAUACAAUAUGCAGUGAUGAUGUUCGAUCAACAACUAUAUUAUUUAGUAAUUAAUUCAUAUUCAUUAUUAGGUAUAUUCUUCAAUUGACGAUCGAAAAUCCCAUGGAAAUAAAUUAUUAUACGCGAUCGAAUGACAUUGAAAAUAAUGAUUUAUAAUAAUUUGGCUCGUACACAAUCGAUCGACUUAUAAAUAGCCGUUAUAUAUUGAUUGGUAUGUUAUUUAUUUUGAGGUUCAGAUGUUUUUGAUUACUUUUAGUACGGUGUAUAAAGCAAUAUUUCAUAUUAUACGAAAAUCAAAACGGUCGAUUAAUGAUAAAAUAAAUAAAAAACCGAAAGAAGAAAAGAAGGAAAAAAACGCAGAGAUAAAAUCUACAAAAAAACAAAAAAAAUAGCAAAUAUAUUUUUACCUCACGUCCAUUUUAUGUUACUUGUCGACAAAUAACAAUAAAUCAUCAUUAAGAAGAAUCAUGAUGUUCGCGAUAGCAAUAGUAUUAUAUUUAUAGUAUACGUAAUUUUUGCAGUUUAAUAAUUAUCGUAUACAUUUUUUUUUUAAAUUUAUCAUCCGGUAUUCAGCGCUAUAUUCGUAAAAAAAUUCACGAGUUUCCUUAAUCGGAGGGACGGCAAAUUGUUGGCUCCCAACUCAAACAAGAAAAUAUAAAAAAAUAUCGGAAGCCUAAAAUGUUUCACGUGUCAUAAACGAAAUGGGCGACUAUAUAUUUUUUUUUUAUAACGGGAACCUGAGCUAUCAUAUUUCAAACAAUGUUAUUAAAAUAUAUUGACCUUGCAGCUGCAGAAGCCUUAAUAACACAUUCAAAAUAAAAAAUAGCCGAUUUGUUAUUCGGAAGUUAAUUAUUCCCAAU